rnacentral:misc_RNA from 1 species
CUGAGAAGUAAUAACUUUUCUCUUUCCCCUCUCGUUGGGUUCUUCUUCCCUCUGGGUUUAGUCUUGCUGCCCAUUGAUCCUCUUGGUUCAAAUUUGUUCCACCAUGUGUUGCUUGGACCCUUUUGGCUGUUCCUUUAUGGAGGUGCUUUUGCUGGGAAACUUUUGAUUAAAUGGCUUCCCUUUGAGCUUCACCGUGUUGUCUUCAUCUCCUCUAAAAUGGCCAUGGAUGGGUCUUCUCUGCUAGAUGGUGGUAAUGUCAUGGUUUCCAGGGCAUUCUCGUGCGGGUCAAACUAGAAAUUGGGUUGGGUGUCUCUGGGCGUCGGGCCUUUAGUUAUCUGGGUUGGAACGACCUCUAGGGCCGUUUUUUUUUAAUUAAGGCACGGUGUUAUAUGUUUGAGAUUCUAAUUGGAUCCUCUGUCUAAGGCAUUUUUUCUGCAAUUAAUAUUUUAUCUUUUGACAAAAAAAAAAAAAACAAAAGAAAAUUCGAAAUGAGAGAAAUUAUCUCAGAACUUAGAUGAUAAUCAGCCAUUCUUUGUUCAUUGAGGUGCUCAUACACUUCUUCCUCUAACAGUAGUACUUUGGCAGUAAAAUUCAAGAGAUGACCCAAAUCAAAAUUUAUGAGAAGAGACGAAAUGUAAGCUUAUGCCAUCUAAUAAUUUCACCUGUUUUUUGGAUCUUCAUAUGUCAAAGAAAGAGACAAGGACUUCAUACAUAUGUGCCCUAAAGCCAUAUUGAUGGUAUUGGUUCAAUUAAAGAUACGAAUGAUACCAAAAUCUGGCCCUGUACAGAAUUUUUCCUAAUGCAAAGUUAAUGAAAUAAGAAGAAAAAACAAACCCUUACAAUAUAAGCAGGUUCUCAAUCUAUGUGUUAAACAAAACAAGGUCGACAACAAAUGCUGAGAAAGCAUAUUGAAGAUCCCUGCAACAUUCACAUAGGAACAACCGGAACGUUCUGAUGACUGCUCUGCUCCAAAUGUCAAUACUUCAACAUCCCAUAUCUUAAGAAAUCCUUCUCAAUUCAAAGGAACUCUAACAAAAAGGAAGAGUGUAACAAGUUCAAAAGCAGCUAAUCCGUUCUUCUGGUCUCAAAAUUGCAUCAUCACACACCUCUAGCUCCUACUACUUGAUAAUGUCAGCAUCUAACAAUCAAGCCAAAGCAAAAUUUGCAUUUUUCUUCUUUAAGAAUCACAUCUAGCAAAUCCCACAGGAACGAAUCAUAAUCCACUAAUUCCUGUUUACCAAAAUUAUAACCCCCCAAAAAAUAAAACCUUUUUCCCCAACUUUUCGUACCCUGAUUAAAAGAAGGCAAGGAUUUCAAGCCAAGCCAAUGGCUAUCAAUCAGGCAACAAUGGUGUGUAUAAUCCUCAAUACUGAGACAUCAUCACAAUUCACAACUAAAAAAUUUCAGUGAAAAAAGGAGUGUCAUUUUCUUAACUAUUCCAAAAAUUUUGCUCUAAAAGAAAACCUUAAUUGCCUCUAUAAUAAAAACUUGCAUUUCUAACAUUUAAUACCCAAAUAGAAUCGCAAAAUUCGUCAAAAUUGAUGAAACAUGAUCGAUCAAGAAGGGUGACAAGAGGGAUUGGCAUGGAGAAUAAAUUUACCUGACGACAGUAAGUCCAGAAUUACCACAGAAAGUGCAGUUAAACGGAGCAGGAGUGUCCCGAUACAUCGUCUGUUGAAUCGGAAUUCCCUUUGGAUCGCCGAAGACAGCGUUUGGUGGGAUGGCUCCGGCUUGGUACGGGUUCUGGCCGGCGUAGUAAGGAACCCCGAUGGCAGGCUCAUCUUUUUGGCCCAUUGCUUAUGCUUUUGUGAAGCUUUUCUUGGAUUGGAGACAGACGGAGGAGGCAAGAUUGAUUCUUCAAAUGAAUUAAUGAACAAUAGGAUGUUGAUUGACCGAUGGAGGUGGGAAGAACAAAGAAAAUAAAGCCGCGUUUUAUAAUUAAGCAAAGUUAUUGACGUUCAAGGCAGGCUCUAAAUAUGAUUGGUUUGUGUGCAUAAGAAAUUAAUAAUUAUUUCUUGAAACAAACGAAAUGUCGUUUUCUUUCCAGAGAAUUGACUUGGAAGGCACGAACCAGGAAGCUGCAUUCUUCACCUCUCGCUGUUAAUGCCUGUGACCAAGGUCUUCAUCAAUGUUGAGUCAAGAUGCAAAAGGAAAACGAUAAAAAUUUUCCAUAACAGAAAAUUCUUAAAAAUCCAAAUUGGCAUGAACGAGGAAGCUUCCACUUCGACAUGUCUCCCCCAUUAGUCCAAAAAAAGGAAAAU